GACGAACGCUGGCGGCGUGCUUAACACAUGCAAGUCGAACGAAGUGGCGAACGGGUGAGUAACGCGUAAUCAACCUGCCCUUCAGAGGGGGACAACAGUUGGCAACGACUGCUAAUACCGCAUACUUAAGGAGGGGAUUGCGGCUGAUUAGGUAGUUGGCGGGGUAACGGCCCACCAAGUCGAUGAUCAGUAGCCGGGCGGGGAGGAGGAACGGCCAAAAUGGGACUGCGACACGGCCCAGAAUCCUAAGGGAGGCAGCAGUGGGGAAUCUGCCGCAAUGGACGAAAGUCUGACGGAGCAACGCCGGGUGAGUGAUGACGGCCUUCGGGGCGUAAAGCUAUGUUAAUCGGGACGCGGUACCGAAAUAGAAAGCCACGGCUAACUACGUGCCAGCAGCCGCGGUAAUUC
rnacentral:rRNA from 1 species